GACGAACGCUGGCGGCGUGCUUAACACAUGCAAGUCGAACGGAAAGGCCCUGCUUUUGUGGGGUGCUCGAGUGGCGAACGGGUGAGUAACACGUGAGUAACCUGCCCUUGACUUUGGGAUAACUUCAGGAAACUGGGGCUAAUACCGGAUAGUAGCUCCUGCUGCAUGGUGGGGGUUGGAAAGUUUCGGCGGUUGGGGAUGGACUCGCGGCUUAUCAGCUUGUUGGUGGGGUAGUGGCUUACCAAGGCUUUGACGGGUAGCCGGCCUGAGAGGGUGACCGGCCAAAUUGGGACUGAGAUACGGACCAGACUCCUACGGGAGGCAGCAGUGGGGAAUAUUGCACAAUGGGCGGAAGCCUGAUGCAGCAACGCCGCGUGCGGGAUGACGGCCUUCGGGUUGUAAACCGCUUUCGCCUGUGACGAAGCGUGAGUGACGGUAAUGGGUAAAGAAGCACCGGCUAACUACGUG
rnacentral:rRNA from 1 species